rnacentral:rRNA from 1 species
AGCGUACACGGUGGAUGCCCUGGCAGUCAGAGGCGAUGAAGGGCGUGCUAAUCUGCGAUAAGCGCCGGUAAGGUGAUAUGAACCGUUAUAACCGGCGAUACCCGAAUGGGGAAACCCAGUGUGAUUCGUCACACUAUCAUUAACUGAAUCCAUAGGUUAAUGAGGCGAACCGGGGGAACUGAAACAUCUAAGUACCCCGAGGAAAAGAAAUCAACCGAGAUUCCCCCAGUAGCGGCGAGCGAACGGGGAGGAGCCCAGAGCCUGAAUCAGCAUGUGUGUUAGUGGAAGCGUCUGGAAAGGCGCGCGAUACAGGGUGACAGCCCCGUACACAAAAGCGCAUGUGCUGUGAGCUCGAUGAGUAGGGCGGGACACGUGGUAUCCUGUCUGAAUAUGGGGGGACCAUCCUCCAAGGCUAAAUACUCCUGACUGACCGAUAGUGAACCAGUACCGUGAGGGAAAGGCGAAAAGAACCCCGGCGAGGGGAGUGAAAAAGAACCUGAAACCGUGUACGUACAAGCAGUGGGAGCACAGGUUUACCUGUGUGACUGCGUACCUUUUGUAUAAUGGGUCAGCGACUUAUAUUCUGUAGCAAGGUUAACCGAAUAGGGGAGCCGGAGGGAAACCGAGUCUUAAUUGGGCGUUAAGUUGCAGGGUAUAGACCCGAAACCCGGUGAUCUAGCCAUGGGCAGGUUGAAGGUUGGGUAACACUAACUGGAGGACCGAACCGACUAAUGUUGAAAAAUUAGCGGAUGACCUGUGGCUGGGGGUGAAAGGCCAAUCAAACCGGGAGAUAGCUGGUUCUCCCCGAAAGCUAUUUAGGUAGCGCCUCGUGAAUUCAUCUCCGGGGGUAGAGCACUGUUUCGGCUAGGGGGCCAUCCCGGCUUACCAACCCGAUGCAAACUGCGAAUACCGGAGAAUGUUAUCACGGGAGACACACGGCGGGUGCUAACGUCCGUCGUGAAGAGGGAAACAACCCAGACCGCCAGCUAAGGUCCCAAAGUCAUGGUUAAGUGGGAAACGAUGUGGGAAGGCCCAGACAGCCAGGAUGUUGGCUUAGAAGCAGCCAUCAUUUAAAGAAAGCGUAAUAGCUCACUGGUCGAGUCGGCCUGCGCGGAAGAUGUAACGGGGCUAAACCAUGCACCGAAGCUGCGGCAGCGACGCUUAUGCGUUGUUGGGUAGGGGAGCGUUCUGUAAGCCUGUGAAGGUGUGUCGUGAGGCAUGCUGGAGGUAUCAGAAGUGCGAAUGCUGACAUAAGUAACGAUAAAGCGGGUGAAAAGCCCGCUCGCCGGAAGACCAAGGGUUCCUGUCCAACGUUAAUCGGGGCAGGGUGAGUCGACCCCUAAGGCGAGGCCGAAAGGCGUAGUCGAUGGGAAACGGGUUAAUAUUCCCGUACUUGGUGUUACUGCGAAGGGGGGACGGAGAAGGCUAUGUUGGCCGGGCGACGGUUGUCCCGGUUUAAGCGUGUAGGUGUGUGUUCCAGGUAAAUCCGGUUCACUUUAACACUGAGGCGUGAUGACGAGGCACUACGGUGCUGAAGUAACAAAUGCCCUGCUUCCAGGAAAAGCCUCUAAGCAUCAGGUAACAUCAAAUCGUACCCCAAACCGACACAGGUGGUCAGGUAGAGAAUACCAAGGCGCUUGAGAGAACUCGGGUGAAGGAACUAGGCAAAAUGGUGCCGUAACUUCGGGAGAAGGCACGCUGACACGUAGGUGAAGUGAUUUACUCACGGAGCUGAAGUCAGUCGAAGAUACCAGCUGGCUGCAACUGUUUAUUAAAAACACAGCACUGUGCAAACACGAAAGUGGACGUAUACGGUGUGACGCCUGCCCGGUGCCGGAAGGUUAAUUGAUGGGGUCAGCGCAAGCGAAGCUCCUGAUCGAAGCCCCGGUAAACGGCGGCCGUAACUAUAACGGUCCUAAGGUAGCGAAAUUCCUUGUCGGGUAAGUUCCGACCUGCACGAAUGGCGUAAUGAUGGCCAGGCUGUCUCCACCCGAGACUCAGUGAAAUUGAACUCGCUGUGAAGAUGCAGUGUACCCGCGGCAAGACGGAAAGACCCCGUGAACCUUUACUAUAGCUUGACACUGAACAUUGAGCCUUGAUGUGUAGGAUAGGUGGGAGGCUUUGAAGUGUGGACGCCAGUCUGCAUGGAGCCGACCUUGAAAUACCACCCUUUAAUGUUUGAUGUUCUAACGUGGACCCGUUACCCGGGUUGCGGACAGUGUCUGGUGGGUAGUUUGACUGGGGCGGUCUCCUCCUAAAGAGUAACGGAGGAGCACGAAGGUUGGCUAAUCCUGGUCGGACAUCAGGAGGUUAGUGCAAUGGCAUAAGCCAGCUUGACUGCGAGCGUGACGGCGCGAGCAGGUGCGAAAGCAGGUCAUAGUGAUCCGGUGGUUCUGAAUGGAAGGGCCAUCGCUCAACGGAUAAAAGGUACUCCGGGGAUAACAGGCUGAUACCGCCCAAGAGUUCAUAUCGACGGCGGUGUUUGGCACCUCGAUGUCGGCUCAUCACAUCCUGGGGCUGAAGUAGGUCCCAAGGGUAUGGCUGUUCGCCAUUUAAAGUGGUACGCGAGCUGGGUUUAGAACGUCGUGAGACAGUUCGGUCCCUAUCUGCCGUGGGCGCUGGAGAACUGAGGGGGGCUGCUCCUAGUACGAGAGGACCGGAGUGGACGCAUCACUGGUGUUCGGGUUGUCAUGCCAAUGGCACUGCCCGGUAGCUAAAUGCGGAAGAGAUAAGUGCUGAAAGCAUCUAAGCACGAAACUUGCCCCGAGAUGAGUUCU